AGGCAAAUUGCCAAUGGGUCCUCCAGUUUGUUGAAAAAUUUCGUCAUCGCUGCUUAUUUCCCCUGCUCUUAUAAAUUACAAUCGGCUGAUGUCUGUUAUUUUUGUUAGUCACUACACCAAUGUUAGGUUUCGAGUUGUGUACUCUGUGUUGUUAUAAGGUUAGGGCACUUCUAAAGAAAAUUCUUCUGUACAGUUUAAUAUUCUAUUCAAACAAUAACAUAACAUAAUUAUGAAUUCAAUUUAGUUAAGCUACGUCAUACAGUUAUUGCAGCUAGCACAUAUAGUUACACUUUCUGUUCCCGCAAUUCUCAACAACACUGUUGUGGCGAUGAUGAUGUAGGCUUCCUUUUUAUUUAAAAAAUUAACUGGUUUGUCAUUCCAGAGUUAUAGGCCUUUUUAACAAUCUUAUUUAAGGCAAUAUUCAGAGAUCUCAUAAAGGUCAAGCACAGGCCACAAAUGCAUGAUUUUUUGUCUGGAUCCACCAUUUCAUUUUACUAUGUGUCCUGAGGCCUAAUGAAAAAUCUUUUUCUGGUAUCCAGACCCAUCCUAAUUUUUAUACGACCGCAAACAAAUUUUUGUGGUCGUAUAUUGGUAUGACGUUGGCGUCGUCGUCGUCCGGCAUCGUCGUCCGAAGACACAUUAGUUUUCGCACUCUAACUUUAGUUUAAGUGAAUGGAUCUCAAUGAAAUUUUACCAUAAGGUUCAAAACCACAAAAGGAAGGUGGGGAUUGAUUUUGGGGGUUAUGGUACCAACAGUAAAGGAAUUAGGGGCCAAAAAGGGGCCAAAAAUAAGCAUUUUUGUAACUUCCAGACAUAACUUGUGGGUAAGUGUAUGGAUCUAUCUGACAUUGUUCCACAAGGUUCCAUAUCACAAAGAGAAUGCUGGGAUUGAUUUUGGGGGUAAUUGCCUCAAAAUUUUAGGAAUUAGGGGCCAAAAAGGGGCAAAAAGCAAGCAUUUUUCUAGUUUUCACGACAAUAACUUGUGUGUAAGUCUAUGGAUCUCUCUGACAUUGUAUCAGAAGGUUCCAUAUCAGAAAGGGAAUGCUGGGAUUGAUUUUGGGGGUAAUUGCCUCAAAAAUUUAGGAAUUAGGGGGCAAAAAACAAGCAUUUUUCUAGUUUCAUGACAAUAACUUGUGUGUAAGUGUAUGGAUCUUUAUGAAAUUGUACUACAAGGUUCCAUAUCACAAAGGGAAAGCUGGAAUUGAGUUUGGGGGGUAAUUGCCCAAAAAGUUUAGAAUUAAGGGGUCAACAAGGGGCCAAAAAUAAGCAUUUUUCUAGUUUCAAGACAAUAACUUGUGUUCAAGUGUAUGGAUCUCUCUGAAAUUGUACUGCAAGGUACCAUACCACAAAGGGAAGGCUUGGAUUGAUUUUUGGGGUAAUUCCCUCAAAAUUUUAGUAAUUAGGGGCCAUAAAA